rnacentral:rRNA from 2 species
UAACCUGCAUUCCCUUAGUACGGCGAGUGAACCGGGAAGAGCUCAAAUUUGAAAUCUGGCAGUCUUCGAUUGUCCGAGUUGUAAUCUAUAGAAGCGUUUUCCGUGCUGAACUGUGUAUAAGUCCCUUGGAACAGGGUAUCAAAGAGGGUGACAAUCCCGUACUUUACACAAUCAUCAGUGCUCUGUGAUACGUUCUCUACGAGUCGAGUUGUUUGGGAAUGCAGCUCAAAAUGGGUGGUAAAUUCCAUCUAAAGCUAAAUAUUGGCGAGAGACCGAUAGCGAACAAGUACCGUGAGGGAAAGAUGAAAAGCACUUUGGAAAGAGAGUUAAACAGUACGUGAAAUUGUUGAAAGGGAAACGAUUGAAGUCAGUCGUGUUCAUUGGACUCAGCCGGUUUUCGGUGUAUUUCCUUUGAACGGGUCAACAUCAGUUUUGUCCGGUGGAUAAAGGUAGUAGGAAGGUGGCUCCCCCGGGAGUGUUAUAGCCUAUUGCCACAUACACUGGAGGAGACUGAGGACUGCAGCUUGCCUUUAUGGCCGGGGUUCGCCCACGUUCAAGCUUAGGAUGUUGACAUAAUGGCUUUAAACGACCCGUCUUGAACCACCGGACCA